UUGUGGCUAUAUCAAGUUGAAACACCGGCUCUCGUACGAUCACUAAAGUUAAGCAACGUCGUGCCUGGUCAGUACCUAGAUGGGUGUCCAUUUGGGAAUAC